UCGCAUUAUUUAUUAUUAUUUGUAUGUUGUUCUUGAUGAUUUAGCAAUGGUUCUUAGUGGUGAUUAAGUUUGUGCCAGCUGUCGCGGUUAUACAUUAGGCGCUACUGAAUACUUUUGGUUGUGCAGUUUUAUACUUUAGUUUGUGGAUUAUGUUGAUAUUGAUUUUUAGGUGGAAUUGAUUAAUUUUGUUUACUGUCUUGGGUUAUGGGGUGUAAGCUGUGAAAUCUUUAUUUUAGACUAGGAUUAGAUACCCUAUUAUUUUUGACGUUAAUUAUGUAUUCCUGGGUAGUAUUAGUUGUGUUCUUGAAACCUAAAGAAUUUGGCGGUAUUCUAUUCCUUCCAGAGGAAUCUGCCCUAUAAUCGACAAUCCGCGUUGGACCUUACUUAUAUUUUUUUGUUUGUAUACCGCCGUUAUAAUGAAGAUCUUUUUAGUGUUGUAAUUUUCUGGUUUCAUGGUUUGUGAAUUAUUUCAGGUCAAGGUGCAGCUUGUUUAUGAGUAUGAGGUGGAUUACAUUAUGUUGGUGAUUUUUGGAUUACUGGUUGAUAUUUAUUGGUAUGAAAUUGGAUUUGGUUGUAAUCUGUUGAAGAUUGUUUUGAUGAUAUUGGUUCUGGAAUAUGUACACAUCGCCCGUCACUCUCAUAUUUUGUUGAGAUAAGUCGUAACAAAGUGGUCGUACCGGAAGGUGUGGCUGGA
rnacentral:ncRNA from 1 species